AGGAAGCAGACAUAGAGAAAUUAUCACCUACCUAUCUAUCUACCAGGAUGAGUAAGUAGUGACUCAUUUGCUUUUCUUAUUCUCUUCUUUGAUAAGCUCAGCACUGAGAUCAGAUCAUAUCAGAGCAGAGCAUGAGUCACCAACACCAACACCAUCACGGUCCUCCCCCGCCGCCACACCCUCACCAUCCUCAUCCUCCUCCGUCGCAACCGCACCAUCCACCGCCUCAUCCCCAUCAUCCACCGCCUCCUCCUCACCAUCACCACCACGAGCGAGAUGGCUGCUGUUCAUGUUCCAUUCUCUGACCACUGUCGUCCAACUCUGUUUGGCUUCUCCAUCUCUGAUCUGUACUGUUACAUUGUUGUUGGAGUUGGGUGCUACCGCUUUUUAGCAGACCAAUCAAAUAAAUAUAUCUUGUAAUCCCCCCCUAUGUAUGUAUGUUAAUAUUAUAUUAUUAGCGUAUCAUAUCAGAGUACGUACUUACGACAUUGGAUCAGAGUAUGUAUGAUAUGCAUAUAUGCAUGUAUGUGCCGAAAUUAGUAUUUUGAAUUCAUUGAAAUAACGUACUUACGUACACAAUUGCUCA